AUGGUCUUGAUGACCGGAAGGGAUUCCUUCCGGUCAUCGUGACCAUACAAUCUUGAUGGCCGGAAGGGAUUCCUUCUGGUCAUCAAGACUGU
rnacentral:miRNA from 1 species